CGAUGACAACGCGAAGAACCUUACCAAGGCUUGACAUACACCGGUAACGCCCAGAGAUGGUGCCCCUUUGUGGUCGGUGUACAGGUGGUGCAUGGUUGUCGUCAGCUCGUGUCGUGAGAUGUUGGGUUAAGUCCCGCAACGAGCGCAACCCUCGUCCUAUGUUGCCAGCGGGUCAUGCCGGGGACUCAUGGGAGACUGCCGGGGUCAACUCGGAGGAAGUGGGGAUGACGUCAAAUCAUCAUGCCCCUUAUGUCUUGGGCUUCACGCAUGCUACAAUGGCCGGUACAAAGGGCUGCGAUACCGCGAGGUGGAGCGAAUCCCAGAAAGCCGGUCUCAGUUCGGAUUGGGGUCUGCAACUCGACCCCAUGAAGUCGGAGUCGCUAGUAAUCGCAGAUCAGCAACGCUGCGGUGAAUACGUUCCCGGGCCUU
rnacentral:rRNA from 1 species